rnacentral:SRP_RNA from 1 species
GCCAGGCGUGGUGGAACGUGCUUGUAGUCCCAGCUACUUAGGAGGCUGAGGUGGGAGGAUCGCUUGAGUCCAGGAGUUCUGGUCUGUAUCGCGCUCUGCCAAUCAGGUGUCCACACUAAGUUUGGCAUCAAUAUGGUGACCUCCCAGGAGUGGGGAACCACCAGGUUGCCUAAGGAGGGGUGAACCAGCCCAGGCUGGAAACAGAGCAGGUCAAAACUCCUGUGCUGAUCAGUAGUGGGAUCGCACCUGUGAAUAGCCACUGCACUCCAGCCUGGGCAACAUAGUGAGACCCCAUCUCU